GUCGACGGGGAUCGACUCCGGCCAGCGCGUUGCGCCCGCCGGAGCCGUCGCG
rnacentral:sRNA from 1 species